rnacentral:rRNA from 1 species
UACCGCGGUUACACGAAAAGCCCUAGCUGAUAGGCCUCGGCACAAAGGGUGGUUAAGGAAAACUUUAAAAGCCAAACUCUCCCCCAGCUGUGAUACGCAGCUCGAAGGCAAAGACCUCAACGAAAGUCGCUUUAUCUUACCUGAAGCCACAAAAGCUAGGGCA